GUCCUGUUGAAACAGUUCUUCUUGCAAAUGUGGUGUUGCAGAUUUCCAGUGUGCGGAUCUCCAUGAGCACGUUUGCACGUGGUAUUUCAAGGUUUUCCCGUUGAUGGCCUCCAGCUUCCAGAUUCACUGCUUGGAAAAGGGAGGCUACCAAGAGCUUUCAAGCAUUUGCACUUUGGUAUUCUUGCUACUUUCCUUUCCAUGUUACUUUAAUCUUUUGUUUGUGUUCANNNNNNNNNNNNNNNNNNNNNNNNNNNUCUGCGCUUUGGCCAGUUCUGCAGAACCUCUAUUUCUUGAGGUUAUUCUGUGGGGAUUUUUCUCUGUUCCUCUUUCCUAGCUGUUCAUAUUAGUUCUUCAUCAGUAGUGUUCUCCUUUAACUCAAACAAAUUGCACUGGUUUACUAAAACUAUUCGUAAGCAGGUGCAGUCCUCUUCUGCAAGAACGCCUUUAUUUUGAUUGGAGUGGUUUAGCUUGAGGCAAUCGGAGGCAGUUUUAAACUCAGCUUUGCAUUGAACCUGUGGGAAGCCUGUUUGAGUUUAAAAACAGUUUGAGGUGAAUUAGUGGAACUUCUUAUGUGGGCAUAUCUUCUAUGACAGUGGGCGCAAUUCCACUGGGGAAGAUGGUGUUACAGCAGCAGGUUGCUUCCAUCAAGUCUCUCCACAGCUUGAGCGUUUUUUCAAAGCAUAAGGUGAAGACUUUCCUGCAGUAGGUUCUUUUGCUAGUGCUGCAGAAGUAAUUCAAAUGGCUGCAAAGACAGUUGCCCCCUUUCAGACUAGCUGCAAGCAGACCAAGUUGGAGAGACAGUACAGGCUUGUAGGAGAAGUGCUUUUCCGCACAUGGCGUUGUAUUUUGACUGAUGAAAGCAAGAGGGGAGCACUAGCUGCGUGGAAGCUCAUCAGGGCCAGAGUUGUCGCUCUCACCAGGGUACCUAAUACAGGUGAUACCUGCCAGCGCUUUGUGAGUGGAUCCUAGCGCUAACUUUUUGCCAAUUCAAUGGGAAGAAAAGUUGAACAACCUGCUUGAGACCCCAGCAGAAGCGCUCAGAAGUGAGUUCCUGCAGGUUCCUGAUUUCCAGCGCCCUGUUCAGGCCAUCCCUCUUGGCUCUCACCCUGUGAACAGCUGUACUGGCACACACAGACAUGCAAAAAAAAGCGAACCAACUUUGGCAAAAUGCCAGGACCUAAAUGAUUUGGAGAUGUUGAGCUAGAAUUAUUUGGCAGCCUCGGUAGCAGAAAAAUAUAACUACUUGGUUUACUUGCACACCAAUAGAAAAUUACUAGGAGUUAUUUAUUCUGCGUUAGAGGAGCAAAACAAUUAAAAUUUUUGUUUCCAAGAGGGGGAAGUGUCAAGGUCACUGUGUAAAUAUUGUUUGGAAUUAGCGAGUGGCCACAGGUUUGCCACUUUUCCUGUGGAAUAAAAAAGAAUCUGGCUGUAUUUCA
rnacentral:lncRNA from 1 species